UUACCCUCAUGUCGUUCCAAACUCUGACAAAAAGGAAGCAGCCUUCUCUAGCCCACCCAAGUUUCCAUCAAAGGAGCAAGCCUAUGUCAGUAAGAAGAAAGCUGGCUAACCCUCCCACCCCUUGUUUAACUCCUCCAGCCCAUCCCACAUCAUUGUAGAGUGAAGAGACUGCGGUUAAUAUUCAGAAAGAGGCGCAGAGAACUGAAGGCUUUCCUGACUUGACACCGAAUAAUAACGAAGGCCUGUGUGCUUUGCAGCAGCCUCCACGUCACCCUCUUCCAGGGCUCCGUCAGAGGACUAACGAUAUGCCACAAGAUGAUUGGCAGCAAGACACACCCAGUGAUGAAGGGAUGUGCUCUCCUUAAAUCACAGCCUAUUCAUCAGGUACUCCUGAGUGCUGUGUUAAGAAAUCCUGCCUACAAAGUUCCACUGAGGCUGAUAUAAAGAUGACUGUGAGAAACUGGCUGCGGCUGUCUGAGCAGAGACAGGAAUGGGGGCGGCAAAGGCGGGACAAGCAAGCAUCUUAAGUGAAAUAAUUGAUUGGACUGAUUCUGGAGUAUGACUUAUUCUGGAGGGAAUUUCUUAUUUUUGUUGCAGUUUGCUAUGGGACGGUUUCAAGGACAGGGAUUAGACUAGUUCUAGACUAAAAUAAAUGUAAGAGCUGUCCAAACUGAAAACAACUUGCACUGACAUAUCAUAAAAUACAUCAGUGUCUUUUGUGAUGCUUCAAAAUGCACACAAGUAAUGUUUUUAUUAAGACAUGUUAUUAAAACUAGUUAUAUUUCAGAAUUAAACUAAGGCCUAGUCCCGGUUUAAGAUAAUCCCUGUCCGGGAAACCACCCCAAAGUGUAAUUUGUGGAGUGUUAAAAUAAAUGAAACUGCCUUUGCAAAAACAAAGUAAAAAAAAAUUUCCAGAUGCC